UACGGGGGGAGCAAGCGUUGUUCGGAUUUACUGGGCGUAAAGGGCGCGUAGGCGGUCAGCACAAGUCAGUUGUGAAAUCUCCGGGCUUAACUCGGAAAGGUCAACUGAUACUGUGCGACUAGAGUGCAGAAGGGGCAACUGGAAUUCUCGGUGUAGCGGUGAAAUGCGUAGAUAUCGAGAGGAACACCGGUGGCGAAGGCGGCUUCCUGGCCCGUACCUGACGCUGAGGCGCGAAAGCGUGGGGAGCAAACAGG
rnacentral:rRNA from 1 species